CAAUUGGACGGUUGACCAGCCAUGCAGUCGUGCAAGGCUGCAUCCAACUUAGAAUUCUUCGGAAGGCAGAGUGUAGCGACUGAGCGGCGGACGGGUGAGUAACGCGUGGAUAACCUGCCUCAUACAGGGGGAUAACAGUCAGAAAUGGCUGCUAAUACCGCAUAAGCCCACAGUGCUGCAUGGCACAGUGGGAAAAACUUAAGGUGGUAUGAGAUGGAUCCGCGUCUGAUUAGCUGGUUGGUAAGGUAACGGCUUACCAAGGCGACGAUCAGUAGCCGGCCUGAGAGGGCGACCGGCCACAUUGGGACUGAGACACGGCCCAAACUCCUACGGGAGGCAGCAGUGGGGAAUAUUGCACAAUGGGGGAAACCCUGAUGCAGCGACGCCGCGUGAAGGAUGAAGUAUUUCGGUAUGUAAACUUCUAUCAGCAGGGAAGAAAAUGACGGUACCUGACUAAGAAGCCCCGGCUAACUACGUGCCAGCAGCCGCGGUAAUACGUAGGGGGCAAGCGUUAUCCGGAUUUACUGGGUGUAAAGGGAGCGUAGACGGCUGUGCAAGUCUGAUGUGAAAACCCGGGGCUCAACCCCGGGACUGCAUUGGAAACUGUGCGGCUAGAGUGUCGGAGAGGUAAGUGGAAUUCCUAGUGUAGCGGUGAAAUGCGUAGAUAUUAGGAGGAACACCAGUGGCGAAGGCGGCUUACUGGACGAUGACUGACGUUGAGGCUCGAAAGCGUGGGGAGCAAACAGGAUUAGAUACCCUGGUAGUCCACGCCGUAAACGAUGCAUACUAGGUGUCGGG
rnacentral:rRNA from 1 species